rnacentral:rRNA from 1 species
UACGAAGGGGGCGAGCGUUGUUCGGAAUUACUGGGCGUAAAGGGCGCGCAGGCGGCUCUGAAAGUCAGAUGUGAAAGCCCCGGGCUUAACCUGGGAAUGGCAUUUGGGACUGCAAGGCUUGAGUGCGGCAGAGGAGACUGGAAUUCCUGGUGUAGCAGUGAAAUGCGUAGAUAUCAGGAGGAAUACCGAUGGCGAAGGCAGGUCUCUGGGCUGACACUGACGCUCAUGCACGAAAGCGUGGGGAGCAAACAGG